ensembl:lncRNA
GUUUUCUAGUAAUUGUGAUGCUAUGUAUUAGGUUCAGGUUUCAAAAAGGUACCAGCUUUAACACCAUUUUCAUGCUAAGUGGUGUUAAUUAAUACAAAUCUACAACCAUGAACGUACACGGAAUCCGGUCGCUGACUAUUAAACAGCCAUGACAUUUUAUAUACAGCGAAUAUAUAAGAUUGUUCUGUUUAUCAUUAAAAAAAAAAAAAAAAAAAAAAAACCCAAAAAAAACCUCUAACGGAAAAUAUUUCUACCAAGAAAAAUCACUACAAUUACAUGUAAAGUUAAUUUAAAUUCAUGUAACAUAAAUUCAAGAAAAGAUACACGAGGGAAGUCAAAUGAGCCAAGUGAGUGAAAACUUACUUAAAAUAUAAUAUUCUAUUUUCACAGCACCUUUCUCAAACUCGAGGCGGCUUCGCAAAGAUUUACAACAAAAGAACACAAAUGGAACAAACGUAACGACAAACAUAAAGUGUUCAUGGGUCAGCUUAAUAGAUGUGAUAAAAUAAGCAUAAAUAACACAGCAAAAUAACGCGCGAACAACUAUAAACGAGACAUUUUUUAAUGCGUUUCCAUUUGAUCUCAUUAUGCAUAUGGAACUUUAGGUAAUUAUUACCCAUUAACAGUACAGGCCUCUAAAUUUGAUGCUGCAACUUAAAAAUAAAAUCUUAUCCGAGACAACAAGAAAGAAAAGAAGAAAAAAAAACCAAAAAAAAACAUUUAUGUUUAAUUAACCGAGCAAAUCAAAUCUUCAUAGAUGUGUUCUGUAUGCUUGUGCGGCUUCCUCGCGUUAAUGCUGCGCAAUAUAAACAGCACCAGUGAGGUUUAUCUCUGUGCAUGUCACUAAAUGAAAGAGACUCUGAGAGGAAAAGAGAGAUUAAGUGCGAGGGAGAGAAAUGAAUAUACGCCAGCCAAAAGAGAAGGGGCUGUGGAAGUGGGAAAGGGAGAGAGAGAAAAGCUAAAUUUGGGGCAGGAGGGAAGCCAAAUGUUUGCUUCUCUGUGCUCUCAUUACAAACUCUGGAGGUUUUCCACUUUUAGACACAGAAAGAAAGAGAGAGAGAGAGAGAGAGAGAGAGAGAGAGAGAGAGAGUCUGACAACAA